rnacentral:rRNA from 1 species
CCUACGACUCUCGGCAANGGAUAUCUCGGUUCUCGCAUCGAUGAAGAACGUAGCGAAAUGCGAUUCCUGGUGUGAAUUGCAGAAUCCCGCGAACCACCGAGUCUUUGAAUGCAAGUUGCGCCCGAGGCCAGCCGGUNGAGGGCACGCCUGCCUGGGCNUCANNC